rnacentral:rRNA from 1 species
UACAGAGAUGACAACCGUUGUUCGGAAUCACUGGGCUUAAAGCGCACGCAGGCGGGAAGAAAAGUUGAUUGUGAAAACCUAUGGCUUACCCAUAGAACAGCAGUCAAAACUAUCUUCCUUGAGGAUGUGAGGGGAGAGUGGAACUUCUGGUGAAGCGGUGAAAUGUGUUGAUAUCAGAAGGAACGCCGGAGGCGAAAGCGACUCUCUGGUGCAUAUCUGACGCUCAGGUGCGAAAGCUAGGGGAGCAAACGGGAUUAGAACCGGUACGU